CUGUGAUAUUGUUGUAGGCAGAGCCAGAGCACAACGGAGAAGAAUUCGGGGUGGGUCGCCCAUGAGGGGUCUUUUCAUCACCACAAAUCACUGGGAUCUGGGCCUGGACGGGUGUCCGUAGUAUAUCCCUCGCGUCCGACUCAUUGAAGAAGAACUCCUCGUCCAAUUUGAGUAUCUGUUAUUGUUCUGAGGAGGGCGGGUCUUCCUGGGCUAGAACUGGCUGUGACCGCUCGUCUCUUCUCCAAACAGAUACAACCCAACACCACUGAAACCAGCCUCAGAUAAUACACAAGGUCCACACGACUACUGAGCGAUAAACGUGGAUGGACUCCCUCUCCCUUCCAUUCCCGCACCACGGGUUCAACCCAGAAUGUUUCUAGCGAGAGCUCUGUUUGGUUGAAGUCCCAGAGCGCUCCGUUUUCACCUUGUCCGAUUGGUGAUGAGCGGUGUCUGUCGUCGUCGUCGUCCUCAAGCGACACACCUCCACGCGCCACCUGUUUCUGUCACUUGGUGUCAUUGAACUCUGAAAUUACAUUGUACUGGUUGCAAUGAAAAGGGCGUGUUAUAUAUUCUAGAUGUAUUUGUACUUGAUAUGUUUUCUGUGUAAAAUGUGUAUCUUAUCUGGAACUCAUCUAUAGGCUACACUUGUGUGGCUUGUGAUUGAAAUGUUUCAAGUUUCAUUGAUUGCAACAAACGUCAAGAAUAUGAAAAAUAUUAAGAUCUAGGUCUUCUUAAAAGAUGUGUCCUGCCUAAAUGUGAUUUUCUUUACCAAGAUGAGGACCAUCAAGAGCACAUUUACUGAGUGACUUGGGUGGUCUCUCGGGUCUGGUCUGAUCGCUCAACAGUUUCAAUUGUAUGAUCUGAAAGACGCCAGACAUUGUGAUGGUAGGAAAUGUACAUUUGAAAUAACAUUGCAGUGCAAACACACUGGGCACACAUUGAUUGAAUCGACGUUGUUUCCACUUCAAUGAAAUUACGUUGAACCAACGUGGAAUUAACGUUGAAUUGAUGUCUGUGCUCAAUCGCAUGCUCAAUUUACUAGUGAUAGUUAUGUCUCUCAUUGGAAAGCCUAGGUCUUUCUUUUGAUAUUCUAAAGUGACCAAAAUGACUUUCAGGUACUCGAAUAUUGUAGGAUAUGAAUUACAAGUUCAUUUUACAGGCUACACAGGAGGCCAAGGUUUGAGAUGAAGACAAGACACUGGAACUAAUACAUUUUUAAUAAUGUAUUAGCCCAUCUUGAGUUCAUUUGAUUGUCCAUCGUGGUUAGACUUUUAGCUUGGUAAUUACCAGACUGAUUUGCGAACCAUUCAUGUAAGCUCGCGAGAUCAGGCGGCUUUCGAGGCUAGGUUAGACUCGAGGACAAAACAACUAUGAAAUUCUCUUUCUCGGUGUGAGUUCAUGCAAAUAACUCUCAGAAGGCGUUAUGCAUUUU